rnacentral:rRNA from 1 species
CCUACGGGAGGCAGCAGUAGGGAAUCUUCCACAAUGGGCGAAAGCCUGAUGGAGCAACGCCGCGUGGGUGAAGAAGGUCUUCGGAUUGUAAAACCCUGUUGUUAGAGAAGAAAGUGCGUGAGAGUAACUGUUCACGUUUCGACGGUAUCUAACCAGAAAGCCACGGCUAACUACGUGCCAGCAGCCGCGGUAAUACGUAGGUGGCAAGCGUUAUCCGGAUUUAUUGGGCGUAAAGGGAACGCAGGCGGUCUUUUAAGUCUGAUGUGAAAGCCUUCGGCUUAACCGGAGUAGUGCAUUGGAAACUGGGAGACUUGAGUGCAGAAGAGGAGAGUGGAACUCCAUGUGUAGCGGUGAAAUGCGUAGAUAUAUGGAAGAACACCGGUGGCGAAAGCGGCUCUCUGGGCUGUAACUGACGCUGAGGUUCGAAAGCGUGGGUAGCAAACAGGAUUAGAUACCCGAGUAGUC